AGAGUUUCGAAAGCUUGAAGUUAAACCUGGUGAAAAAAACAUCACAUUCACCACAAGCGACGUCUCUCUUUAUAUGGAACCCCUUCAAAUGGAGGAGAAAGUGAGAUUGUGAUCUUUGUGAGCUAUACAAAGAUGUCAUACAUUUUCAAACCUACUUUAUUCAAAACAAUAAUCAACACGAAGAAAACUAUUAUGUCCCCUGUGGUAUCCGUCUCACCAAUGCAACUUGAAAAAAAUCAAAAUCUCACCUUCAGGCACACGAGUGGGUUAGAACCUGAUUUCAGACUUUCCUGUGUGUCCUGGAAUGGUUCUCAAUGGAUUAAAGAUGGUUGUGUUGUAGUAGUGACUAACAGCAGUCACACAGUGUGCUCAUGUAAACAUCUGGGUAUAUUUUCUCUCAUAAUGGAGACUGACC